GACGAACGCUGGCGGCGUGCUAACACAUGCAAGUCGAGCGGAAAGGCCCUUCGGGGUACACGAGCGGCGAACGGGUGAGUAACACGUGGGUAACCUGCCCUGUACUCUGGGAUAAGCCGUGGAAACGAGGUCUAAUACCGGAUACGACACUGGAUCGCAUGAUUUGGUGUGGAAAGUUCCGGCGGUUGGGGAUGGACUCG
rnacentral:rRNA from 1 species